CCUACGGGGGGCUGCAGUGGGGAAUAUUGGACAAUGGGGGAAACCCUGAUCCAGCAAUGCCGCGUGUGUGACGAAGGCCUGCGGGUUGUAAAGCACUUUCGGUUGGGAAGAAAAGUUUGGCGCCAAUACCGCCGAACCUUGACGUUACUGACAGAAGAAGCACCGGCUAACUCUGUGCCAGCAGCCGCGGUCAUACAGAGGGUGCAAGCGUUAAUCGGGAUCACGGGGCGUGUCACGUGAGUCGGUGGUCAAAUCCCCGGGCUUAACCUGGGAACUGCAUUCGAUACGACAUGGCUAGAGUAUGGUAGAGGGAAGUGGAAUUUCCGGUGUAGCGGUGAAAUGCGUAGAUAUCGGAAGGAACACCAAUGGCGAAGGCAGCUUCCUGGACUAAUACUGACACUGAGGCACGAAAGCGUGGGUAGCAAACAGGAUUAGAUACCCUAGUAGUC
rnacentral:rRNA from 1 species